rnacentral:rRNA from 1 species
CAGUAGCCGCGGUAAGACAGAGGAUGCAAGCGUUACCCGGAAUGAUUGGGCGUAAAGCGUCUGUAGGUGGCUUUUCAAGUCCGCCGUCAAAUCCCAGGGCUCAACCCUGGACAGGCGGUGGAAACUACCAAGCUGGGGUACGGUAGGGGCAGAGGGAAUUUCCGGUGGAGCGGUGAAAUGCGUUGAGAUCGGAAAGAACGCCAACGGCGAAAGCACUCUGCUGGGCCGACACUGACACUGAGAGACGUAAGCUAGGGGAGCAAAUGGGAUUAGAGACCCCUGUAGUCCCUGUCUCUUAUAC